GCGGCGUUGGUGUAGGGGUAUCAUUCAGUCUUAGGGCUAGUGUUUUUAGUAUUUAUUGCUGGAAAAAUGGUCUGAUUGACUGCGACCCGGGUUCGAGUCUCGGAUGCCGCC